rnacentral:rRNA from 1 species
GACGAACGCUGGCGGCAUGCCUAAUACAUGCAAGUCGAACGCUGAAGCACUCUGCUUGCAGAGUGCGGAUGAGUGGCGAACGGGUGAGUAACACGUGGGAAAUCUGCCUAUAAGAGGGGGAUAACAUUCGGAAACGGAUGCUAAUACCGCAUAUAUUCUUGGACCGCCUGGUCCUUGAAAGAAAGACGGCUUUGCUGUCGCUUAUAGAUGAUCCCGCGGCGUAUUAGUUAGUUGGUGGGGUAAAGGCCUACCAAGACAAUGAUACGUAGCCGACCUGAGAGGGUGAUCGGCCACACUGGGACUGAGACACGGCCCAGACUCCUACGGGAGGCAGCAGUAGGGAAUCUUCCACAAUGGGCGAAAGCCUGAUGGAGCAAUGCCGCGUGAAUGAAGAAGGUCUUCGGAUCGUAAAGUUCUGUUAUUAGAGAAGAACAAGUCAAGGAGUAACUGUCUUGACUUUGACGGUACCUAACCAGAAAGUCACGGCUGACUACGUG